GUUCUAGGAUUCAUAUAGCCGACCCCACUAGUGGGAAAAGGCUUUGUUGUUGUUGUUGUUGUUGUUGUUGUAUAUUCUACUUGGAACCUCCAACGUAGAACGUAUAUCUAACAUGCAACCUGUCCGGACGUUCGGAUCAAAUCUGAACAUGAAAGACUCAUUAUGCUUUAUGAAAAUCCUUUGAAAAACCAUGCAAUCCUUAAGACGUGAUAUUCAUCCUAAGUGAAAUUACAAUUAUCAAUCACAAGAAGCCAACAUCAAUUUCAGGGAACCUUCUGACCAAAAUUGCAUCAAAUUACUUUUCUAAAAAUCCUAAUGGUGAUCAGGCAUUAAAACAAUU
rnacentral:lncRNA from 1 species